UACGUAGGGUGCAAGCGUUGUCCGGAAUUAUUGGGCGUAAAGAGCUCGUAGGCGGUUUGUCGCGUCUGCUGUGAAAAUCCAGGGCUUAACCCUGGACCUGCAGUGGGUACGGGCAGACUAGAGUGCGGUAGGGGAGAUCGGAAUUCCUGGUGUAGCGGUGAAAUGCGCAGAUAUCGGGAGGAACACCAAUGGCGAAGGCAGCUCGCUGGGACGGUACUGACGCUGAGACGCGAAAGCGUGGGGAGCAAACAGG
rnacentral:rRNA from 1 species